UUAUUAUGAAUCCAAUUAACAAGCAGAUAUUAUUUGUUGGCUAAACGUAAAAACCGUUUAUCUAAUAUACUUAGAAAACAAUGUUGGAUUAGCCCCUAAUAUACGGGGACCGGAAAACGAUGACAUUCUGAACCCUAAAAGACAAAAAAAUUGUAAAAAUGUAAAUAAAAAGGAGUAAUAUAUAAAAAUGGGUGUGUUUCUAUAUUUCUACAUUUCGUUGUACAACCUAAAGAAAACUCGGUAUGAAGGUUUUUCGACAGCAAUCAGAUCGAUGCAGUAAACGAUAUUUUUGUAUAACUGUAGGAAAAGCAGACAACAAGGGAAUACCGGUGCGCAUGGCCUAACAAUGAUGUAGCAGAUAUGUGUGAGGAUAAAACAGAAAGAUAACGAGUCACAUGAACCGAGGUGGAUGACGCUUGGGUAUGGAAAGAUCGAGAAGGACGGCUGGUAUUAUUAGAACGUAAGCAGGUGUUGUUUGAAAUGAAAUCAAGUAAACAGACAAAUGUCUGGCCUACAUUUUGAGGUCAUCUUGGCUUCAUGAUGUGGGUUGCGUCUUAAAUGAAGUCUGAAUAUUGAGAAUGGAGGAAAAGAGAGCGUUCGCUUCCAGUCUGACACUAAAUGUAGCUUUUCGCUUAACAUGUUUGACAAGGCCGCAGAUACCACUUUAAGGCUUAGUAAAAAAAGACAUAGCAAGUAUUUGUGACCUUUUCUUGCAGGAUGUGAGGACCUUUUGGAAGGAAGGGUGGAAACAGCAUUCAGACAACGACUUAGUAAAAACACACGGAAAAGAGUGGAUUCUUUCACGAGAACAAAUGCUUUUAAAUGCUUAUAUAUAUGAACAACCUACACUUAAUAAAAC